AAUUUUGGAUAAUUGGCGCAAGCCUGAUCGAGCCAUGCCGCGUGAGUGAUUAAGGCCUUCGGGUUGUAAAGCUCCUUCGGUGGUAAUGAAAGCGCGCAGGCUAUUACCCGGCGCGGAUGACGGUACCGUCAUAAGACUCAGUGUCUUACUACGUCCCAGAAGCCGCGGUAAUACGUAAGGUGCGAGCGUUAAGCGGAAUUACUGGGCGUAAAGCGUGCGCAGGCGGUUGAUUAAGACAGGCGUGAAAUCCCCGGGCUUAACCUGGGAACUGCGCUUGUGACUGGUCAGCUAGAGUACGGCAGAGGGGGGUGGAAUUCCACGUGUAGCAGUGAAAUGCGUAGAGAUGUGGAGGAACACCGAUGGCGAAGGCAGCCCCCUGGGCCGAUACUGACGCUCAUGCACGAAAGCGUGGGUAGCAAACAGG
rnacentral:rRNA from 1 species